rnacentral:rRNA from 1 species
UACGUAGGCAGCAAGCGUUGUUCGGGGUUACUGGGCGUAAAGGGUGCGUAGGCGGUUGUUUAAGUUUGGUGUGAAAUCUCCCGGCUCAACUGGGAGGGUGCGCCGAAUACUGAAUGACUCGAGUGCGGGAGAGGAGAGUGGAAUUCCUGGUGUAGCGGUGAAAUGCGUAGAUAUCAGGAGGAACACCGGUGGUGUAGACGGCUCUCUGGACCGUAACUGACGCUGAGGCACGAAAGCGUGGGUAGCAAACAGG